rnacentral:rRNA from 1 species
AAUUGGUCAGUGGCGAAAGGGUGAGUAAUGGAUAGGUAACGUACCCCGGGCUCCGGGACAGCUAGCCGAAAGGUUAGGUAAUACCGGAUCAUAUCGUGGGCCGACGGGUCUGCGAUCAAAGAUUUAUCGGCACGGGAGCGGCCUAUCUCCUAUCAGCUUGUUGGUGAGGUAACGGCCCACCAAGGCGAUGACGGGUAGCGGGACUGAGAGGUUGGCCCGCCACAUCGGGACUGAGACACUGCCCGGACCCCCACGGGGGGCUGCAGUAACGAAUAUUGGGCAAUGGGCGAAAGCCUGACCCAGCGACGCCGCGUGCGGGAGGAAGCCCUUCGGGGUGUAAACCGCUGUCAGGGGGAUGAAAGUCCCGGUGGAUUGAUCUAACCCAGAGGAAGUCACGGCUAACUCUGUGCCAGCAGCCGCGGUAAGACAGAGGUGGCAAGCGUUGUUCGGUAUCACUGGGCUUAAAGCGUGUGUAGGCGGAAGCGUAAGCAUUUUGUGAAAUCCCCCGGCUCAACCGGGGAAUCGCUCGAUGUACUGCGUUUCUUGGAGUACUGUAGGGGUGCGCGAAACUCUUGGUGGAGCCGUGUAAUGCGAGAUUUCAAGAGGAACGCCGGUGGAGAAGUCGGCGCACUGGGCCUGUCCUGACGCUUAGACCCGAAAGCGUGGGAGCAAACGGGAUUAGAUACCCCGGUAGUCCACGCUGUAAACGAUGCCUACUAGGUUGUGGCGGUUCUGACGCCGGCACAGCCGAAGCUAAAGUGUUAAGUAGGCCGCCUGGGGAGUACGGUCGCAAGGCUAAAACUCAAAGGAAUUGACGGGGGCUCACACAAGCGGUGGAGCAUGUGGAUUAAUUCGAAGCAACGCGCAGAACCUUGCCUGGGUUUGACAUGCUUGGAUGCCCGCCUGGAAACAGGUUGGGUUGCCCUUCGGGGUGAAACUUGCACAGGUGCUGCAUGGCUGUCGUCAGCUCGUGUCGUGAGAUGUCGGGUUAAGUCCCAUAACGAGCGAAACCCUUGCCGUUAGUUGCCAGCGGGUCAUGCCGGGGACUCUAACGGGACUGCCGGUGUUAAACCGGAGGAAGGUGGGGAUGACGUCAAGUCAUCAUGGCCUUUAUGCCCAGGGCCUCACACGUGCUACAAUGGUUGAGACAAAGCGACGCGAUACCGUGAGGUGGAGCCAAUCGCAAAAACUCGACCCCAGUACGGAUUGCAGGCUGGCAACUCGCCUGCACGAAGCCGGAAUCGCUAGUAAUCGCGAAUCAGCGAUGUCGCGGUGAAUGUGUUCCUGAGCCUUGUACACACCGCCCGUCAAGUGAUGGGAGUUGGGAGCACCCGAAGUCAGGUUGCUAAC